GGGUGUUGCUACCCCAGGCUCCCAAGUACCCCAAUUCUACAGGACUUGCCGCCUCCUGGAAUCGAGGCGGACGGAGAACUAAGGCAGCUGUCCCUGGUGAGACCCGAUACUGGGAUGUGGAAAAACCUUCUGUGAGAGCAAGAGGGACCUGGGCCCAUUGCAGUGAAUGAGCUUCAAUAAUUCAUCGCUACUGCCGACGGGCUAUUGACAGAAAGCUAAUUUAACGCUGGGGAAGCCAGGGGAGCCCCCCAAUCUGCAUUCUUUAAGUGUGAUGACCUACAGGACUUCAAGUGAAAACAGAGAAUACAAGUAGAAGAAAAUUCUGACACAUGGUUUAAUCUUGAGGACGUUAUGCUAAAUUACAUAAAUCUGUCAGAAAAGAACAAAUAUCCCAAGAUUUCAUUUU